AACGAACGCUGGCGGCAUGCCUAACACAUGCAAGUCGAACGAAGGCUUCGGCCUUAGUGGCGCACGGGUGCGUAACGCGUGGGAAUCUGCCCUUUGCUUCGGAAUAACAGUUAGAAAUGACUGCUAAUACCGGAUGAUGUCGCAAGACCAAAGAUUUAUCGGCAAAGGAUGAGCCCGCGUAGGAUUAGCUAGUUGGUGGGGUAAAGGCCUACCAAGGCGACGAUCCUUAGCUGGUCUGAGAGGAUGAUCAGCCACACUGGGACUGAGACACGGCCCAGACUCCUACGGGAGGCAGCAGUGGGGAAUAUUGGGCAAUGGGCGAAAGCCUGAUCCAGCAAUGCCGCGUGAGUGAUGAAGGCCUUAGGGUUGUAAAGCUCUUUUACCCGGGAUGAUAAUGACAGUACCGGGAGAAUAAGCUCCGGCUAACUCCGUG
rnacentral:rRNA from 1 species